CGUUACUAACCAGACAUGUGAUCCACACUCCGCACCGGCUGGUGGCGGUAACGCGCCGAUUAUUGAUCAUCUACCGCCGACCAAGUUAAAACAAGACGAAGAAGAAGAAGAAGAAGAGGAGGAGGAGGAGGAGGAGGAGGAGGAAGAAGACGACGACGACGACGACAACAACAACAACAACAACAUGCGGGAGAGUCGCAGAAAGUCUCCAGUUCAACUUUAACAUCUUAAAGAAACAUCCUGUUGGUGUCAAAUCAAAUGGAAGUUGCUUCCCUGGGUCGACCUUUCACCCUCUGAAUGCUCUAUGAUGCUCAAAGAGAUGCACUGAUCACAGCAGGUGGGUGUGAAGGUGUGAAGGUGUGGACUCUGCUAUGAAUCAGGCUG